AGAUGAUGUAGAUAUAUACAACGGAUAUAUCUUUCCCACUGAAUCCUGAUUUUACUUCAGGUUUAGCUGCUGCAGCACCCAGACAAUUCACAAACUAAAACUCGUUCGCUGACUGAAAUUUAACCCAAGAAAUUCACCAUGAGGAAGGUAUUGGCCACAGCGCUGUUUCUUGGGCUAUUGGUGGGGACAUUCUUUGGGUCAGGGCAGGCCCUUAUUCGUGGUGGGAGAAAUAUGAUUCCAAAUCAGCCCGCUGAAGAAGACGCUGACAUAAUCUACGAAAUGUACGACAGAGCUCAAAAAGUACCUCGUUAUUCCAAACGAGAGAAAUGGAGAUGGGAGGAAAGUGAAUCCUAAACAGUAAAUAGUGACUACUACAAUCCUGUCAGCAAAACGGAUCAACUACUGGCUAAAAUGUCUAAACAAUAAUUAACUAAGAAAACUGAAACUGUGAAAACAAUUUGAAAUAAAUUUAUACAUCAUGGGAACAUA